rnacentral:rRNA from 1 species
GGAGUUUGGGCCGUGUCUCAGUCCCAAUGUGGCCGUCCGCCCUCUCAGGCCGGCUACAGAUCGUCGCUUUGGUGGGCCGUUACCCCGCCAACUGGCUAAUCUGACGCGGGCCCAUCUCAUACCACCGGAGUUUUUCACACUGUGUCAUGCGACACUGUGCGCUUAUGCGGUAUUAACAGCCGUUUCCAACUGUUAUCCCCCAGUAUGAGGCAGGUUGCCCACGCGUUACUCACCCGUGCGCCGGUCGUCAUCUGGCAGAGCAAGCUCCGCCAAUGUUACCCCUCGACUUGCAUGUGUUAAGCCUGUAGCUAGCGUUCAUC